rnacentral:miRNA from 1 species
UCGGAUAUAUUCAAAGGGUAAAGCCGCGCGGCUGUACUCUUAAAAUAUUAAAUUUAAACAGUAUAGCCGUGCGGCUUUACUCUUAAAAUAUUAUAUU